rnacentral:rRNA from 1 species
AUUGAACGCUGGCGGCAUGCUUUACACAUGCAAGUCGAACGGCAGCACGGGUGCUUGCACCUGGUGGCGAGUGGCGAACGGGUGAGUAAUGCAUCGGAACGUGCCCAUGAGUGGGGGAUAGCCCGGCGAAAGCCGGAUUAAUACCGCAUACGCCCUUAGGGGGAAAGCGGGGGAUCUUCGGACCUCGCGCUAUUGGAGCGGCCGAUGUCGGAUUAGCUAGUAGGUGAGGUAAAGGCUCACCUAGGCGACGAUCCGUAGCUGGUCUGAGAGGAUGAUCAGCCACACUGGGACUGAGACACGGCCCAGACUCCUACGGGAGGCAGCAGUGGGGAAUUUUGGACAAUGGGCGCAAGCCUGAUCCAGCCAUGCCGCGUGAGUGAAGAAGGCCUCGGUUGUAAGGU